GACGAACGCUGGCGGCGUGCUUAACACAUGCCAGUCGAACGAUGAAGCCUAGCUUGCUAGGUGGAUUAGUGGCGAACGGGUGAGUAAUACGUGAGUAACCUACCUUUAACUCUGGGAUAAGCCUGGGAAACUGGGUCUAAUACCGGAUACGACCAAUCUCCGCAUGGGGUGUUGGUGGAAAGCGUUAUGUAGUGGUUAUAGAUGGGCUCACGGCCUAUCAGCUUGUUGGUGAGGUAACGGCUCACCAAGGCGACGACGGGUAGCCGGCCUGAGAGGGUGACCGGCCACACUGGGACUGAGACACGGCCCAGACUCCUACGGGAGGCAGCAGUGGGGAAUAUUGCACAAUGGGCGCAAGCCUGAUGCAGCGACGCCGCGUGAGGGAUGACGGCCUUCGGGUUGUAAACCUCUGUUAGCAGGGAAGAAGAGAAAUUGACGGUACCUGCAGAGAAAGCGCCGGCUAACUACGUG
rnacentral:rRNA from 1 species